CAGCAGCCGCGGGAAUACAGAGGGUGCGAGCGUUAAUCGGAUUUACUGGGCGUAAAGCGUGCGUAGGCGGCUUCUUAAGUCGGAUGUGAAAUCCCUGAGCUUAACUUAGGAAUUGCAUUCGAUACUGGGAAGCUAGAGUAUGGGAGAGGAUGGUAGAAUUCCAGGUGUAGCGGUGAAAUGCGUAGAGAUCUGGAGGAAUACCGAUGGCGAAGGCAGCCAUCUGGCCUAAUACUGACGCUGAGGUACGAAAGCAUGGGGAGCAAACAGGAUUAGAGACCCCGGUAGUCCCUGUCUCUUAUAC
rnacentral:rRNA from 1 species